CAACAGCUAGAGUUUGAUCCUGGCUCAGGAUGAACGCUGGCGGCGUGCCUAACACAUGCAAGUCGAACGGAGUUUUGCGAGGAAGUUUUCGGAUGGAAUCGUGAGACUUAGUGGCGGACGGGUGAGUAACGCGUGGGAAACCUGCCCUGUACUGGGGGAUAACACUUAGAAAUAGGUGCUAAAACCGCAUAAGCGCACGGGACCGCAUGGUCUUGUGUGAAAAACUCCGGUGGUACAGGAUGGUCCCGCGUCUGAUUAGCCAGUUGGCAGGGUAACGGCCUACCAAAGCGACGAUCAGUAGCCGGCCUGAGAGGGUGAACGGCCACAUUGGGACUGAGACACGGCCCAAACUCCUACGGGAGGCAGCAGUUAGGAAUAUUGGGCAAUGGAGGAAACUCUGACCCAGCAACGCCGCGUGAAGGAAGAAGGUUUUCGGACUGUAAACUUCUGAUCUAAGGGAAAAAGAAAGUGAUGGUACCUUAGGAGAAAGCCACGGCUAACUACGUGCCAGCAGCCGCGGUAA
rnacentral:rRNA from 1 species